UGACCCCAUGCCGAACUCAGAAGUGAAACGCCGUAGCGCCGAUGGUAGUGUGGGGUUUCCCCAUGCGAGAGUAGGGAACUGCCAGGC
rnacentral:rRNA from 1 species